CUCCUUGAGCGCGGCGUACUGCGGGGGGACAGCCACAGGCAGACCCAGCUGGAGAGGGACUGAAGAGCCUGAGGACGGGGCAAGUGUCAGUUGAAAGACGAAAGAUAAAUUGCGCACAGGUCAGCCUGAGUGGAUGAGAAAAAUUGAUCAGCGACUACAUUUUUUUUUUUAGGCCAAUGGUUCUCAAACCUUUAAACCAAUUACCACCAAAAACAAGUUGUGUCACCAACUACCAUCCUAGUGACCGAUAAUUUUAUAAACAAGGCUUA